GUAUUGCUGCAUUUGAGGUGCUGUCUGCCCUGAUAACCUCCUCAACAGUUUCAAGCCGCUCAUCGUUGUCAGGCGGCAGCGAGGGGCCUAGCUCCGAAGGGAAAGGUCGUCCAAGGAUGGUACUUCGCGUGUGUGAAUUGAGCUGCACUUGCGCAACCUGUGUGCCAUGACAAUAAAGUCAGGCAGGACAGCGUUCCAAGUACGAAAAGCGCAGUGGGUGUGUCCAGGCCAUCUGCACAUUCAUAAGGAGGUUCGGGGUGCUGAGUAUUGUAAUGAGGAUGGCUACUGCACGCAGAAGGUUUGCAGCUAACUACAAUCUGGUUCUGCAAGGCGGAGGAGUUCUGCAAAGCACCUUCUCAACCAGAACGUCCGCCAUGUAGAAAUUGUCAGAACAUGACGUUCCCCUCAAUCUCACAUACUCCGAUCUGGAGAUCGCGCACGCAGCAGCUGCAGCAGCCAAACAUCAACCGUGGGAUGGUCAAACAGGCGGAAAGCCCGUAGAGUGUUUGUGACCGUGCCCUGAAUACUUGGAUACGUCUGUACUACACCUUGGAGACAAAUUCUGAGGUCAUCUGUAGAAUCCUUGCUCCCUGUACCGGCUGGUCU
rnacentral:lncRNA from 1 species